AUAGAUUGCAGUGUCCUACCCAUGUUUCUCAUCCCCACCAUCAUCAGGUGUAGACAGGUGAAAGAACCUGUACUGUUUCUGGAAAUAUGGCCUGGAAGCCACAGUUCUUCCUGUUCUAUUGGAACCAGUUUCCCUAGACAACCAGCCUAGCCCAAGAAAACGUCAGGCUCUUAGUUAUCAAUUCAGAAAACCAAACUACAUUUACAAACCACCAUCUGAUGUUACCAACACCCCUGACGGAAAAUUUAGGGUAGAUGUGACUGUUGGCAGCUGGAAAAAUCAUAAAGAUGCAUUUUGAUGAGCUGAUGAUGAAAGAAGCUGGUCUUCAGAAACUGUGGAACAAGGGCUGAGCCCACAGCCCCAAAUGGCCAAGGAACCCUAGACUGAGGUAGGCCCAAAGCACUCUUCCAGCACUCUGUCUCCACCAAGCAGAGCACUUAGCUUGCUAUCAUGUUCUGUUACUGUUAGCAAAAGAAAAAUAAAAUAGAAAUGCAACACUA